AUUGAACGCUGGCGGAAUGCUUUACACAUGCAAGUCGAACGGCAGCACGGACUUCGGUCUGGUGGCGAGUGGCGAACGGGUGAGUAAUGUAUCGGAACGUGCCCAGUCGUGGGGGAUAACGUAGUGAAAAUUACGCUAAUACCGCAUACGAUCUAUGGAUGAAAGCGGGGGAUCGCAAGACCUCGCGCGAUUGGAGCGGCCGAUAUCAGAUUAGGUAGUUGGUGGGGUAAAGGCCCACCAAGCCAACGAUCUGUAGCUGGUCUGAGAGGACGACCAGCCACAGUGGAACUGAGAGACGGACCAGACUCCGACGGGAGGCAGCAGUGGGGAAUUUUGGACAAUGGGCGAAAGCCUGAUCCAGCCAUUCCGCGUGCAGGAUGAAGGCCCUCGGGUUGUAAACUGCUUUUGUACAGAACGAAAAGGUUUCUACUAAUACUAGGAGCUCAUGACGGUACUGUAAGAAUAAGCACCGGCUAACUACGUGCCAGCCGCCGCCGUAA
rnacentral:rRNA from 1 species